CCUACGGGAGGCAGCAGUGGGGGAUAUUGGACAAUGGGGGGAACCCUGAUCCAGCGACGCCGCGUGAGUGAAGAAGUAUCUCGGUAUGUAAAGCUCUAUCAGCAGGGAAGAAGAAAUGACGGUACCUGAGUAAGAAGCUCCGGCUUACUACGUGCCAGCCGCCGCGGUAAUACGUAGGGGGCAAGCGUUAUCCGGAAUUACUGGGUGUAAAGGGAGCGUAGACGGUGAUGUAAGUCUGGAGUGAAAGGCGAGGGCCCAAACCACGGACUGCUCUGGAAACUAGGUGACUAGAGUGCAGGAGAGGUGAGCGGAAUUCCUAGUGUAGCGGUAAAAUGCGUAGAUAUUAGGAGGAACACCAGUGGCGAAGGCGGCUGACUGGACUGUAACUGACGUUGAGGCUCGAAAGCGUGGGGAGCAAACAGGAUUAGAUACCCGUGUAGUC
rnacentral:rRNA from 1 species